AUACGGAGGAUGCAAGCGUUAUCCGGAUUUAUUGGGUUUAAAGGGUGCGUAGGCGGUUUGCUAAGCGGGAGGUGAAAUGCCGGCGCUCAACGUCGGAAGUGCCUCCCGAACUGGUGGACUUGAAUGACUCUGCCGUGGGAGGAAUGUGUAGUGUAGCGGUGAAAUGCUUAGAGAUUACACAGAACACCGAUUGCGAAGGCAUCUCACGAAGGGUUGAUUGACGCUGAGGCACGAAAGCGUGGGGAUCAAACAGGAUUAGAUACCCCGGUAGUCCACGCAGUAAACGAUGAUGGCUAACCGCUGGGCUUAUCAGUUCAGUGGCCAAGCGAAAGCGAUAAGCCAUCCACCUGGGGAGUACGACCGCAAGGUUGAAACUCAAAUGAAUUGACGGGG
rnacentral:rRNA from 1 species